CCUACGGGGGGCAGCAGUGGGGAAUAUUGCACAAUGGGGGAAACCCUGAUGCAGCGACGCCGCGUGAGGGAAGAAGUAAUUCGUUAUGUAAAGCUCUAUCAGCAGGGAAGAAAAUGACGGUACCUGAGUAAGAAGCCCCGGCUAAAUACGUUCCAGCAGCCGCAGUAAUACGUAGGGGGCAAGCGUUAUCCGGAUUGACUGGGUGUAAAGGGAGCGUAGACGGCAGUGCAGGUCUGGAGUGAAAGGCGGGGGCUCAACCCGCGGAGUGCUCUGGAAACGGUACGGCUGGAGUGCAGGAGAGGUAAGUGGAAUGCGUAGUGUAGCGGUGAAAUGCGUAGAUAUUAGGAGGAACACCAGUGGCGAAGGCGGCUUACUGGACUGUAACUGACGUUGAGGCUCGAAAGCGUGGGGAGCAAACAGGAUUAGAUACCCGAGUAGCC
rnacentral:rRNA from 1 species